AGAGUCUGCUCAGCAGGAGGCACCUUGUGGCUCUGGACACCACGGAAGACAAGUCCUGUUGAGAAACCUCAGCUCUUCCCAGAAACCUGUAGUUCCCAUCAGGGUUGCUCUAUAUAUUAAAUGGCUUAUAAACAACAGAGACUCACCUGACACUUCUCGAGGCUUCAAGCCCAAAAGCAAGGUCUUGGAGACCCAGUGGCUGGUUCAUGCCUCUUCAUCUUGCAGCAGCCUCAUAUGGUGGGAGAGAAGCUUGGAAGAUGAUGUUGAGAACAGUGGAACAAUGAAGACCUGGCUUGUGACAUUUCAGAGC